rnacentral:rRNA from 1 species
GACGAACGCUGGCGGCGUGCUUAACACAUGCAAGUCGAACGGAAAGGCCCUGCUUUUGUGGGGUGCUCGUGUGGCGAACGGGUGAGUAACACGUGAGUAUCCUGCCCUUGACUUUGUGAUAACUUCAGGAAACUGGGGCUAAUACCCGAUAGGAUCUCCUGCUGCAUGGUGGGGGUUGGAAAGUUUCGGCGGUUGUGGAUGUACUCGCGGCUUAUCAGCUUGUUUGUGUGGUAGUGGCUUACCAAGGCUUUGACGGGUAGCCGGCCUGAGAGGGUUACCGGCCACAAGGGGACUAAGAGAGGGACCAGACGCGUACGGGAGGCAGCAGGGGGGAGUAUUGCACAAUGGGCGGAAGCCUGAUGCAGCAACGCCGCGUGCGGGAUGACGGCCUUCGGGUUGUGAACCGCUGUCGCCUGUGACGAAGCGUGAGUGACGGUAAUGGGUAAAGAAGCACCGGCUAACUACGUG